rnacentral:ncRNA from 2 species
UUAUUUUUAGGGAAUGAAGUACUCCCUUAGUAUUUUUACUAAAACCGCUAUAAGCUGAUGACUUCUACGUUAUU